rnacentral:ncRNA from 1 species
CUGAUGCAGCGACGCCGCGUGAGGGAUGACGGCCUUCGGGUUGUAAACCUCUUUCAGUAGGGAAGAAGCCUCUCGGGGUGACGGUACCUGCAGAAGAAGCGCCGGCUAACUACGUGCCAGCAGCCGCGGUAAUACGUAGGGGCGCAAGCGUUGUCCGGAAUUAUUGGGCGUAAAGAGCUCGUAGGCGGUCUGUCGCGUCUGCUGUGAAAAACGCGGGGGGCUCAACCCCGCGCCUGCAGUGGGUACGGGCAGACUAGAGUGCGGUAGGGGGAGACUGGAAUUCCUGGUGUAGCGGUGGAAUGCGCAGAUAUCAGGAGGAACACCGGUGGCGAAGGCGGGUCUCUGGGCCGUUACUGACGCUGAGGAGCGAAAGCAUGGGGGAGCGAACAGGAUUAGAUACCCUGGUAGUCCAUGCCUAA